UGGGGAAUUUUGGACAAUGGGGGCAACCCUGAUCCAGCCAUUCCGCGUGAGUGAAGAAGGCCUUCGGGUUGUAAAGCUCUUUUGUCCGGAACGAAACGGUGAGCGUGAAUAUCGCUCGCUACUGACGGUACCGGAAGAAUGAGCACCGGCUAACUACGUGCCAGCAGCCGCGGUAAUACGUAGGGUGCGAGCGUUAAUCGGAAUUACUGGGCGUAAAGCGUGCGCAGGCGGUUUUGUAAGCCAGAUGUGAAAUCCCCGGGCUUAACCUGGGAAUGGCAUUUGGGACUGCAAGGCUGGAGUUUGGCAGAGGAGACUGGAAUUCCCGGUGUAGCAGUGAAAUGCGUAGAUAUCGGGAGGAAUACCGAUGGCGAAGGCAGGUCUCUGGGCUAUAACUGACGCUCAUGCACGAAAGCGUGGGGAGCAAACAGGAUUAGAUACCCUGGUAGUCCACGCCCUAAACGAUGUCGACUGGUUGUUGGGGGUUUGACACUCUCAGUAACGAAGCUAACGCGUGAAGUCGACCGCCUGGGGAGUACGGCCGCAAGGUUAA
rnacentral:rRNA from 1 species